GUAGUGACGACUGACUGCGGAGCGCUGCUUAGUCAUCUGUGUGGGAGGCUCCCGCAUCUUUCUUUCUACCGUCCCACCAUCUCCGGUCUCCCGCCCAUUUGUCGUAUCCUUUCCUUUGCUAGAAAAAUUUACUAAGUCGGUUGUAAAGGCGUCAGGUGCAUUUGGGUUUCAUCCCCUUCGUUUCAUUCAUGAUGCUGCUACGAACUACUACUUAUAUAUUCUUUGCUCCGAUGACAAAUAUCCCGGGCGCAAAACGGGGAGUUUCACCGAUGUUAUGUCGGAAACUCGGAGGUUGAUGUUUACUACAAUUCUUACCUCUUCAAGAAAACAAAUUAAACGUUGACGUGUCACUUACCCAGAAGGAGUAUGAUCGAAGUGGCAAAGAUACCCAGACAGUAGUGGAAGCUUUUCUCAUAAACAUGGUGACGCACAUUGAGGAAGACCUCUAAGCAUGCUGAUCUGGUAAUUCCACCAUCCUCUGCUCUAUGUGAUCAAGACUUUGUUCUUAAAUCAGCAGCGGAAUACUGCUGUUAGAAACCAACUUUUUACCUUCUUCCAUGACUAACAGAGCAUUAGCACAGGAUCAGUUCCCUUGGGAGCAUUCGCAUAGGAUCAGCUCUUAGCAUGCUUAUCAGUUGUCAGAAAGAACUUCAAAAAUGAAUAACUUAUUUAGACAGGUUGCUGUAAUUUAGACAUGAUUUCUGGGAUAUCUAUUCACAUUUCAGGAA